rnacentral:lncRNA from 1 species
CCCCGAUUUGAUAGCAGUGUAAUCAUAAUAUGGGCAACUCCUUCAUGAUCUAACAACAAUGUAAUCCUAAUGUGGAUAACUUCCCCUUGAUCAUCCACUAUGGACAUUGUGGUCAUUCUCGGGGUAGUCUCUCAAAUGGUAGACCUCUACAUGACUCAUGUCCAAUGUCUUAGAAUGCCAAUACUUCAUUGCAAUCUUUUUAGCCACGAUCCCUGAUAAGUUUAUUUUAUAGAGUUAUUUGGUCACAAUUUUGAGUAUUUGUUUAAGCUCUUGAGAUUUAAUUUGAGUAUUAAGAGUUUUUAGUCAUUUAUUUUAUUUUUAGUAAAUUAUAUUGAGUUCAAUUGUGUUAAGUUAUUUUAUGAUGUUUUACUCUAAGUUUAGUUAUUAUUUAAUUUAGUUUGUUGCUUUUGUAGGUGUGCUAUUAAAAGGGUGACAUUUUGAAAAGAUGAAUGCAUUCAAGGUGCAGACUUUGAUUGCACAUGUAUCAAUAUUUCAACCAUAUGUUUCUCUACAAAAGUCCAAUUGAUGUGAUUCUUGAACCAAUGGAAAUCUAAGAGGCAGAAUUACAACUUUUAUAUUUACCACUUUGCCUAGUUCAGCAUUGAAGAAGGAGAAAAUCACAUUAGAAGUCAAAGUUGUGUAAUAGAGCCUGAUAAUUCAUGACAAUACAAAAGGGGCUACGGCCAUGAAAGGAGGCAAUGCCGCGGCGCCCCAACAAGCAUGUCCAGUUAAACCACACAUAAGCCUCGACUAUGUGGCCACCAAGGAACUAGUGUCAUGGUGCCUGAAAAGAAAAUAUGAAAAAAUAAGUGCAGGGCUUGGUGUCACGAUCCAGACCAACCUCUAUGAGGUAUUGUCCGUUUUUGCCCGCUAGUCUCACGGUUUGUCCCACAUAAGGUGCCUCACAGGUUAAAGGUGGUGUAAACCCUUAUAUGCCUGAUAUUGCUCUAGUACAUAGCCAAUAUGGGAUUCAUGACUCUUCUCUCUAAGACCACAACAUACUUUCUCACUCCCCACUAGGAGCAUUAUCUCAACGAUGUGGGAUUCUCGUCCACGAAAGGACCGUGACAUCUUACCCCAAUUGAACAAGGGUCCACUAUCCUUAGUGACACACUGCUAGUACUCAAAAUCUACUUUGAUACCAACUAUCAUGAACUACGCUUCUUUGCUUAAGUAUGAGAUAGAUCAUGAGGCGCUUGAUAACUCUAUGGUAUAGAGUUAUUUGGACUUAAUUUUGAUAGUAAUUUAGCUUAGUUCUUGCUAUAAUGCAUAGAAAUUAGUAAGGUUUAUUUAAAUUAUUUUAAAUUAAUUAUUUUAGGUAAGUCAAUCUAAGCUUAGUUAAUUUUAUACAUAAUUUGGUGUUAAUGUAAUUAAGAUAGGUUGUUAUUGAUUUAUUUGUGCUUUUGUAGGUUUAAUGAAGGAAGAAUUUUAAUUAAAGAAGGCAAGCAAUUUCGAGAUGCAGACUUUCAUUGUAUAUGUUUUGGUAUUUCGACCAUAGCUCUCUCUACAGAGCUCCAAAUAAGAUGUUCUUUAACUAUUGGAAAGACAAAAGAAAAAACUACAACUUUCAUGUUUACUAGUUCAACUUGGAAGAUGGUCAAUAAUUAUGUCUAAGUUGAACCACCGCAGUAGUCCUAGAGUAAUUACGAUUUUUGCUAUAUAAUGGGUCGAGGCUGCAGCUCACGUAGUCUGACGAGGAAAUCCUGAUUGGAAUUGACUUUUUUCUUCAUCUACCAUGUCCUAACUUCAAAGCCCUAUAAAAACAACAUUUUAGAGGACUUUUAAAGAGGAGAGAAGGAGACACCAAAUUGACAGCUGAGAUUCAAACCACAAAAUCAUUGAAAAAAAAUAUCUCAUUGGAACUGAAAAGAAAUUAAAGGUUUCAAGAAGAUUUGGAG